UACGUAGGGACCAAGCGUUGUUCGGAAUUACUGGGCGUAAAGGGCUCGUAGGCGGCCAACUAAGUCAGACGUGAAAUCCCUCGGCUUAACCGGGGAACUGCGUCUGAUACUGGUUGGCUUGAAUCCGGGAGAGGGAUGUGGAAUUCCAGGUGUAGCGGUGAAAUGCGUAGAUAUCUGGAGGAACACCGGUGGCGAAGGCGGCAUCCUGGACCGGUAUUGACGCUGAGGAGCGAAAGCCAGGGGAGCAAACGGG
rnacentral:rRNA from 1 species